ensembl:processed_transcript BC006965 cDNA sequence BC006965
ACACGUCGGCCACUCCACCUCGGGCGCUCUGAAGCCGGCCGCAUGGAGACUGGGGGACGGUGGUAGGAUGGUCCUAGACCCCUUCUCUCCAUUUCUGCAACCUUGGUGAAUUGAAAAGGGAUCAAUAUCCUUGGUCAGCUAUACCAUACCAGAUGGCCAAGGGACAGAGGAAAAAUGGCAGGGCAAACCCCCUUGGAUUUGCCCACGUGGAGUUUGGAUAUUUACCUGACUUCUUUGUCAAGUCUUGGGCCUGAUGCAGGUAAGCAUGGUGGGGCCCUUGGAGAUCUGUCGGAGCAGUUGCAAGAGGCCACUGUAGACCAGCAAUCGCCACCGCUGCAGCAUUGGUGCCAGGCAAGAAAUCCCAUCAUGCUCUACACCAAGGCUGAGGAGGGAUAGAGCUGAACCGACUGGCAGCCCUCUGUCCUUCCAUGAGAGGAGACUCCAUGGGAGACAAUGGUGUAUAGCAGUGCAGUGCAGCUCACCUGGUGAGGGCUCCUGGAGGGGACCUAAGUUGGUCCCCAAACAUAUCAGCACCUUCCUGUAUCUCUGAGUUGUUCCGGUUUACCAGUUCCCACUAAGCUAUUCCUCGGAAGAUGCUCUGAAGAAUCGAGAACCCCCAGAAGAGUCAAAUCCAAAGCGAAUCAGAGCAAAGUCACCUUUACUUCAUAUUCCCUGGGAGAUCUCGAUGCUGGAUUGCCUCUCUUCUUGUUUACCAAAUCCUAGCGGUUUUUAUGUGGAGGAGGCAGAACCUGGGGCCAGGAGACUGUCGGAGGUGGAGGAAAUUUGCAAAAUUCCUGUCUCAGUUUUUAAUUUUUUCAUUCAUUUUUGCAAAUUUUCUGCUAAACAACCUCUCACAUAUAUUGACCCAUU